CUCUGAAGGCACCAGCUAUCCUGGCUCUGCUGCGGUGCUUGGAUCUUCGCUGUGGCUCUUUCCCACCACACUGUCCUUGCGCUCAAGUAUUACCCUGGCGGCGAGGAGCUGGGGACACCCAUACCUGCUCUCUGCUUCAUUGUUUCUCCUGUCCCCACCCCCGCACCCCAGCUGAAAGUUAUGAGGCCCUGACAUGUGAGGUCCUGAGUCAUCACAAGACACGAAGCUUCCAGUCACGGGGGAGGCUGGGUCCAGAAGGGAAAGGACUGGCCAGAGGCCAUGCACGGGCAGCAGCUGGAUCCCUGUGCCUCACCCAGCACUCUGCCCCGCCAUCUCCUUUGCUCCCUCAAGGGAAGGGUUGUUUCCCAGAACAAGAUGUCCCCCCACACCAGCAUGUCAAAUGUCAGACCACUCCCAGGAGGCCCAGCAGCUGGUCAGAAGGGGCGGAGACGGUGGAAGGAAUCCUUGGGGAGCUGAGAGCCUGCUCAGUUUGGUGGGUGGCCUGGGCAGGUGCAGGGUGCCAGGCCUGGAGGGGGGCUUGGCACAGCUCCCUGGGCUGUGUGUGGGCCUGGCGCUGCAGAGGUGGUCAGUGCCCUGGCAAGUUCCUUCGGCGUCCCGUGGGACACUCAGAAAAACUCUUGGUCCUUCGGGGGGAGAGAGGAGGCCUUUGGAGACAAGGGGCAGGGUGGAGGUGGCAGCCCUGGGCCCCAGCUGUCUUUGGGGUCACCAAAAACUGUUCAGGAGACCGUGCCUUGGGCCAAACAGGACUCCUCAGCUGUCCUAGCUGCACCGUCCCUGGAGAGGUGUCCCCCUCUGGACAGGAUGCAGCUUCUCAGAGAGCCCCUGGUCUGACACCUGACAUGGAAUGAUACGCCGUGGAUCCCAGGGAGUGCCUACAACCGCUUCUGAAGAAACUGAGGCCUGAGAGGAAGGCAUGGCCCGGGUCCGGAACUCCGGGGCCCUCUUGGCUGCGUUUGACAUUUCGAAUCAGACCGGCCCAAGCAUACACAACCAGCGGCCACCUAGCACGCUAGCAUUUGAAGACCACGUUUCCACUGCCCUCUGCCAUCAUAAAUACGUUUCUUUGGAUUUUGAAG
rnacentral:lncRNA from 1 species